rnacentral:tRNA from 1 species
CCCGACUUAGCUCAGACUGGUUGAGAGCGGCUGACUGUAGUGUGGUAAUCGGCACGACCGAUCACGGUCGCUGAAAUCAGCAGGCCCCCGGUUCAAAUCCGGGAGUCGGGA